GCCAGGCGUGGUGGCGCACGCCUGUAAUCCCAGCUACUUGGGAGGCUGAGGCAGAAGAAUUGCUUGAAUCCGGGAGGCAGAGGUUGCAGUGAGCUGAGGUUGUGCCACUGCACUCCAGCCUGGGUGACAGAGCGAGACCCCGCCUCAA
ensembl:misc_RNA Metazoa_SRP Metazoan signal recognition particle RNA